CAGAACUGCACGUCCUUCAGUUAACGCUCGCUUUAACUGUAAUUUCGAUUAAAAUUUAACUGUAAAACUAUUAUUACUGCUAUUUCCAUGUUUAUUUUAGUGAUUCCGUCGUAAUUUCGCGUUAUUUCUGCCGUUAAAGUGUCAAGGUUUUUGGCGGGAUAAAAAUAAAUUCGGAACAAUCAUGGCCGUUUUGUUUUUUUUUCAGUGUUUUUUUUUUCGUUCGGAAACGUGGAUUUACUGAUAUUAUGGAAGAAAAUUCCCUACCUACUUAUGGAACCCUGAUGUACGCACGUGUGCAAGUCGUUUCGACUUUCCAGUGAUAUCGGAUCGAGUUCGCGUCGAGAGGGAAAUCUAUAUGGAGCAAAUAGUUGGGGACACGUGUGUGGUUACAAUGAGAAUAUGAAGACUUAGAAGAAGAGAUGAAGAGCCAUCAUCAUCAUCCUCAUAAAGAGCCUCGAUAGCUCAACGGUUGAGGAGCGG